UACGUAGGGGCCGAGCGUUGUCCGGAGUUAUUGGGCGUAAAGCGCGCGCAGGCGGCUUCGCGCGCCCGACGUGAAAGCCCCCGGCUUAACCGGGGAGAGUCGUUGGGGACGGCGGAGCUUGAGGGCGGGAGAGGUCGGUGGAAUUCCCGGUGUAGUGGUGAAAUGCGUAGAUAUCCGGAGGAACACCAGUGGCGAAAGCGGCCACCUGGACUGCACCUGACGCUGACACGCGAAAGCUAGGGGAGCGAACGGG
rnacentral:rRNA from 1 species